rnacentral:rRNA from 1 species
GGUUUGAUUAUGGUUCAGAUUGAACGCUGGCGGGAUGCUUUACAUGCAAGUCGACCCAGGCAGCACGGACUUCGGUCUGGUGGCGCGAGGCGAACGGUGAGUAAUGGUCGAACGUGCCUAGUAGCGGGGAUAAUCUGCUACGAAAGCGGUAGCUAAUACCGCACAUUGCCACCCUUCGGGGGAAAGCGGGGACCUUCGGGCCUCUGCACUAUUAGAGCGGCCGAUAUCGGAUUAGCUAGUUGUAGGGUAACGGCUCACCAAGGCGACGAUCCGCAAGCUGCUGGAGAGGACACCAGCCACACUGGGACGAGACACGCCCAGACUCCUACGGGAGGCAGUGGUGGGGAAUUUUGGACAAUGGGGGAAAUCCUGAUCCAGCCAUCCCGCGUGUGCGAUGAAGGCCUUCGGGUUGUAAAGCACUUUGGGUGAAAGAAACGGCACGGGAUAAUACCCCGUGCAACUGAUUAUACCCGCAGAAUAAGCACCGGCUAACUACGCCAGCAGCCGCGGUAAUACGUAGGGUGCAAGCGUUAAUCGGAAAUUAAUAAGGAAGCGUGCGCAGGCGGUUCGGAAAGAAAGAUGAAACUCUGAGCUUAACUUUGAACCCGCAUUUUUAACUACCGAGCUAGAGUGUGUCAGAGGAGGUGAAUUCCGCGUGCAGUGAAAUGCGAUGAUGCGGAGGAACACCGAUGGGCAGAAGGCAGCCUCUGGGGAUAACACUGACGUCAUGCACGAAAGCGUGGGGAGCAAACAGGAUUAGAUAAUUCUGGUAGUCCACGCCCUAAACGAUGUCAACGUAGCCGUUAAAUUUCGGGCCCGGUAGCGCAGCUAACGCGUGAAGUUGACCGCCUGGGGAGUACGGUCGCAAGAUUAAAACUCAAAGAAUUGAUUGGGACCCGCACAAGCGGUGGAUGAUGUGGAUUAAUUGAUGCAACGCGAAAACCUUACUCACCCUUGACAUGUCUGGAAUCCUGAAGAGAUUUGGGAGUGUCGCAAGAGAACCGGAACACAGGUGCUUUCGUAUUGCCGUCAGCUCGUGUCGAGAUGGCGCUGGGUUAAGUCCCGCAACGAGCGCAACCUUGUCAUUAGUUGCUACGAAAGGGCACUCUGACGAGACUGCCGGUGACAAACCGGAGGAAGGUGGGAUGAUGCUCAAGUCCUCACGCUCCUUAUGGGUAGGGCUUCGUCAUACAAUGGUCGGACGCGAGGGUCGCCAACCCGCGGCGAGGGGGAGCCAAUCCUGGCGAACCCGAUCGGGGAACUGGAUCGCAGUUCGCAACUCGACUGCGUGAAGUCGGAAUCGCUAGUAACGCGGAUCAGCAUGUCGCGGUGAAUACGUUCCCGGGUCUUGUACACACCGCCCGUCACACCAUGGGAGUGGGGCUUACCAGAAGUAGUUAGCCUGGGUCCAGGUGAGGGCGAUUACCACGGUAGGAUUCAUGACUGGGGUGAAGUCGUAACAAGGCA